AUUCCGGUUGAUCCUGCCGGAGGACAUUGCUAUUGGGAUUCGAUUUAGCCAUGCUAGUCGAGCGAGUUUAGACUCGCGGCGAAUAGCUCAGUAACACGUGGCCAAGCUCCCCUUCAGUCAGCGAUACCCUCGGGAAACUGAGGUUAACAGCUGAUACAAAACGCCAGCUGGAAUGCGGCGUUUCAGAAAGACAUCGCUGAAGGAUGCGGCUGCGGCCGACUAGGUAGACGGUGGGGUAACGGCCCACCGUGCCAGUAAUCGGUACGGGUGAUGAGAGUCAGAGCCCGGAGACGGAAUCUGAGACAAGAUUCCGGGCCCUACGGGGCGCAGCAGGCGCGAAACCUUUACACUGCACGGAAGUGCGAUAGGGGAAUCCCAAGUGCGAGGGCAUAUUAGCCCUCGCUUUUCUCGACUGUAAGGUGGUCGACGAAUAAGAGCUGGGCAAGACCGGUGCCAGCCGCCGCGGUAAUACCGGCAGCUCAAGUGAUGUCCCAUAUUAUUGGGCCUAAAGCGUCCGUAGCUA
rnacentral:rRNA from 1 species